UCCUUUGUUUUCGAGUCGCGUUUGGUUGGUUCAAGGGCAAAUUUUGUACAAGAUGUCAUAUAUGGGUACCUACUUGGAAAAAUUCUGUCAAUGACAUUUUUUAAGCAUAGACUGGGUAGCAAAAAGUUAUGUUGGAUGAGCCACUAAAGAUGUAGUUAUCGAGGAGUUUUUGCGUGUCCUUUGUUUUCGAGUCGCGUUUGGUCGGUUUUAGGGCAAAUUCUGUACAACAUGUCAUAUAUGGCUACCUAAAUUUGGAAAAAUUCUGUGAAUGACAUUUUUUAAGCAUGGAUUGGGUAGCAAAAAGUUAUUUUGGAAGAGCCACGAAAGAGGUAGUUAUCGAGUUACGUUAGGUCGAUUUUAGGGCAAAUUCUGUACAAGAUGUCAUAUAUGGGUACCUAACUUGGAAAAAUUCUAUGACCGGCUUUUUAAGCAUGGAUUGGGUAGCCAAAAGUUAUUUUGGACGAGCCAUGAAAGAGAUAGUCAUGAAAGAGUUUUUGCGUAUCCUUUGUUUAGAUUCGCGUUUGGUCGGUUUUAGGGCAAAUUUUGUACAACAUGUCAUAUAUGGGUACCUAACUUGGAAACAUUCGGUGAACGACAUUUUAUAAGGAUGGAUUGGGUUGCAAAAAUUUAUGUUGGACGAGCCACGAAAGAGGUAGUUCCCAAGGAGUUUUUGCAUGUUCUUUGUUUUUGAGUCGCGUUUGUUCGGUUUUAGGGCAAAUUCUGUACAAGAUGUAAUAUAUGGGUACCUAACUUGGAAAAAUUAUGUGAACGACAUUUUUAAGCAUGAAUUGGGUUAUAAAAAGUUAUGUUGGACGAGCCACGAAAGAGUUAGUUAUCGAGGAGUUUUUCCGUGUCCUUUGUUUUCAAGUCGCGUUUGGUAGGUUUAAGGGCAAAUUAUGUACAAGUUUUCAUAUAUGGGUACCUAACUUGGAAAAAUUAUGUAAACAGUAUUUUUUAAGCAUGGAUUGGGUAGCAAAAAGUUAUUUUGGACAAGCCAUGAAAGUGGUAUUUAUCGAACAGUUUUUGCGUGUCCUUUGUUUUCGAGUCAUGUUUGGUCGGUUUUAGGGCAAAUUCUGGACAAGCUAUCACAUAUGGGUACCUAACUUGGAAAAAUUCUGUGAGCAGCAUUUUUUAAGCAUGUAUUGGGUAGCAAUAAGUUAUUUUGGAUGAGCCAAGAAAGAGGUAGUUAUCGAGUAGUUUUUGCAUGUCAUUUGUUUUCGAGUCGCGUUUGGUCGGUUUUAGGGCAAAUUCUAUACAAGACGUCAUAUAUGGGUACCUAACGUGGAAAAAUUAUGUAAACGACAUUGUUUAAGCAUGGAUUGGGUAGCAAAAAGUUUUUUUGGACGAGCCAUGAAAGAGGUAUUUAUCGAGGAGUUUUUGCGUGUCCUUUGUUUUCGAGUUGCGUUUGGUCGGUUUUAGGGUAAAUUAUGUACAAGAGGUCAUCUAUGGUUACCUAACUUGGAAAAUUUCUAUGAACAGAGUUUUUUAUGAAUGGAUUGGGUAGCUAAAAGUUAUUUUGGACGAGCCAAGAAAGAGGUAGUUAUAGAGGAGGUUUUGCGUGUGCUUUGUUUUCGAGUCGCGUUUGGUUUGUUCAAGGGCAAAUUCUGUACAAGAUGUCAUAUAUGGGUACCUAACUUAGAAAAAUUCUGUGAACGACAUUUUUUAAGCAUGGACUGGGUAGCAAAAAGUUAUGUUGGACGAGCCACUAAAGAGGUAGUUAUCGAGGAGUUUUUGCGUGUCCUUCGUUUUCGAGUCGCGUUUGGUCGGUUUUAGGGCAAAUUCUGUACAAUAUGUCAUAUAUGGGUACCUAACUUUGGAAAAAUUCUGUGAAUGGCCUUUUUGAAGCAUGGAUUGGGUAGCAAAAAGUUAUUUUGGAAGAGCCACGAAAGAGGUAGUUAUCAAGGAGUUUUUGCAUGUCAUUUGUUUUCGAGUCGCGUUUGGUCGGUUUUAGGGCAAAUUCUGUACAACAUGUCAUAUAUGGGUUGGGUUAUAAAAAGUUAUGUUGGACGAGCCACGAAAGAGUUAGUUAUCGCGGAGUUUUUGCGUGUCCUUUGUUUUUGAGUCGCAUUUGGUAGGUUUAAGGGCAAAUUAUGCACAAGAUGUCUUAUAUGGGUACCUAACUUGGAAAAAUUAUGUAAACGGCAUUUUUAAGCAUGGAUUGGGUAGCAAAAAGUUAUUUUGGACGAGCCAUAAAAGAGAUAUUUAUCCAGGAGUUUUUGCGUGUCCUUUGUUUUCGAGUCGCAUUUGGUUGGUUUUAGGGAAAAUUCUGGACAAGCUGUGAUAUAUGGGUACCUAACUUGGAAAAAUUCUGUGACCAGCAUUUUUUAAGCAUGGAUUAUGUAGCAAUAAGUUAUUUUGGAUGAGCCAAGAAAGAGGUAGUUAUCGAGUAGUUUUUCCGUGUCCUUUGUUUUUGAGUCGCGUUUGGUCGGUUUUAGGGCAAAUUCUGUACAAGACGUCAUAUACGGAUACCUAACAUGGAAAAAUUCUGUGAACGAAAUUUUUUAAGCAUGGAUUGGGUAGCAAAAAGUUAUUUUGGACAAGCCACGAAAGAGGUAGUUAUGGAGGAAUUUUUGCGUGUCCUUUGUUUUUGAGUCGCGUUUCGUCGGUUUUAGGGUAAAUUCUGUACAAGAUGUCAUAUAUGGGUACCAAACUUGGAAAUAUUCUGUGGACGACAUUUUUAAGCAUGGAUUGGGUAGCAAAAAGUUAUUUUGGGCAAGCCGCCAAAGAGGUAAUUAUCGAGGAGUUUCUGCGUGUCCUUUCUUUUCGAGUCGUGUUUGGUCGGUUUUAGGGCAAAUUCUAUAACAGAUGUCAUAUAUGGCACCUACCUUGGAAAUUUUCUGCGAACGGCAUUUUUUGAAGCAUGGAUUUGGUAGCAAAAUUUAUUUUGGACAAGCCACAAAAGAGGUAGUUAUCGAGGAGUUUCUGCGUGUCCUUUGUUUUCGAGUCGCCUUUGGUCGGUUUUAGGGCAAAUUCUAUAACAGAUGCCAUAUAUGGUAGCUAACUUGGAAAAUUUCUGUGAACGACAUUUUUUAAGCAUGGAUUGGGCAGCAAAAAGUUAUUUUGGACGUGCCAGGAAAGAGGUAUUUAUCGAGGAGUUUUUGCGUGUCCUUUGUUUUUGAGUCGCGUUUGGUCAGUUUUAGGGUAAAUUCUGUACAAGAUGUCAUGUAUGGUUACUUAACUUGGAAAAUUUCUAUGAACGGAAUUUUUUAAGAAUGGAUUAGGUAGCUAAAGUUAUUUUGGACGAGCCAAGAAAGAGGUAGUUAUGGAGGAGGUUUUGCGUGUCCUUUGUUUUCGAGUCGCGUUUGGUUGGUUCAAUGGCAAAUUCUGUACAAGAUGUCAUAUAUGGGUACCUAACUUGGAAAAAUUAUGUGAACGACAUUUGUUAAGCAUGGAUUGGGUAGCAAAAAGUAAUGUUGGACGAGCCAUUAAAGAGGUAGUUAUCGAGGAGUUUUUGCGUGUCCUUUGUUUUCGAGUGGCGUUUGGUCGGUUUUAGCGCAAAUUCUGUACAACAUGUCAUAUAUGUGUACCUAACUUUGGAAUAAUUCUGUGAAUGGCAUUUUUUAAGCAUGGAUUGGGUAGAAAAAGUUAUUUCGGAAGAGCCACGAAAGAGGUAGUUAUAGAGGAGUUUUUGCAUGUCAUUUGUUUUUGAGUCGCGUUUGGUCGGUUUUAGGAAAAUUAUGUACAACAUGUCAUAUAUGGGUACCGAACUUCGGAAAAAUUUUGUGAAUGGCAUUUUUUAAGCAUGGAUGGGGUAGCAAAAAGUUAUUUUGGAAGAGCCACCAAAGAGGUAGUUAUCGAGGAGUUUUUGCAUGUCAUUUGUUUUCGAGUCGCGUUUGGUCGGUUUUAGGGCAAAUUCUGUACAACAUGUCAUAUAUGGGUUGGGUUAUAAAAAGUUAUGUUGGACGAGGCACGAAAGAGUUAGUUAUCGCGGAGUUUUUGCGUGUCCUUUGUUUUUGACUCGCAUUUGGUAGGUUUAAGGGCAAAUUAUGCACAAGAUGUCAUAUAUGGGUACCUAACUUGGAAAAUAUAUGUAAGCGGCAUUUUUUAAGCAUGGAUUGGGUAGCAAAAAGUUAUUUUGUACGAGCCAUAAAAGAGAUAUUUAUCCAGGAGUUUUUGCUUGUCCUUUGUUUUCGAGUCGCAUUUGGUUGGUUUUAGGGCAAAUUCUGGACAAGCUGUGAUAUAUGGGUACCUAACUUGGAAAAAUUCUGUGACCAGCAUUUUUUAAGCAUGGAUUAGGUAGCAAUAAGUUAUUUUGGAUGAGCCAAGACAGAGGUAGUUAUCGAGUAGUUUUCCGUGUCCUUUGUUUUUGAGUCGCGUUUGGUCGGUUUUAGGGCAAAUUCUGUACAAGACGUCAUAUAUGGAUACCUAACAUGAAAAAAUUCUAUGAACGAAAUUUUUUAAGCAUGGAUUGGGUAGCAAAAAGUUAUUUUGGACAAGCCACGAAAGAGGUAGUUAUGGAGGAAUUUUUGCGUGUCCUUUGUUUUUGAGUCGCGUUUCGUCGGUUUUAGGGUAAAUUCUGUACAAGAUGUCAUAUAUGGGUACCAAACUUGGAAAUAUUCUGUGGACGACAUUUUUAAGCAUGGAUUGGGUAGCAAAAAGUUAUUUUGGGCAAGCCGCCAAAGAGGUAAUUAUCGAGGAGUUUCUGCGUGUCCUUUCUUUCCGAGUCGUGUUUGGUCGGUUUUAGGGCAAAUUCUAUAACAGAUGUCAUAUAUGGUACCUACCUUGGAAAUUUUCUGCGAACGGCAUUUUUUUAAGCAUGGAUUUGGUAACAAAAUUUAUUUUGGACGAGCCACAAAAGAGGUAGUUAUCGAGGAGUUUCUGCGUGUCAUUUGUUUUCGAGUCACGUUUGGUCGGUUUUAGGGCAAAUUCUAUAACAGAUGCCAUAUAUGGUAGCUAACUUGGAAAAUUUCUGUGAACGACAUUUUUUAAGCAUGGAUUGGGCAGCAAAAAGUUAUUUUGGACGUGCCACGAAAGAGGUAUUUAUCGAGGAGUUUUUGCGUGUCCUUUGUUUUCGAGUCGCGUUUGGUCGGUUUUAGGGUAAGUUCUGUACAAGAUGUCAUGUAUGGUUACCUAACUUGGAAAAUUUCUAUGAACGGAAUUUUUUAAGAAUGGAUUGGAUAGCUAAAGUUAUUUUGGACAAGCCAAAAAAGAGGUAGUUAUAGAGGAGGUUUUGCGUGUCCUUUGUUUUCGAGUCGCGUUUGGUCGGUGCAAGGGAAAAUUCUUUACAAGAUGUCAUAUAUGCGUACCUAACUUAGAAAAAUUCUGUGAACAACAUUUGUUAAGCAUGGAUUGGGUAGCAAAAAGUAAUGUUGGUCGAGCCACUAAAGAGGUAGUUAUCGAGGAGUUUUUGCGUGUCCUUUGUUUUCGAGUGGCGUUUGGUCGGUUUUAGCGCAAAUUCUGUACAACAUGUCAUAUAUGUGUACCUAACUUUGGAAUAAUUUUGUGAAUGGCAUUUUUUAAGCAUGGAUUGGGUAGAAAAAAGUUAUUUUUGAAGAGCCACGAAAGAGGUAGUUAUCGAGGACUUUUUGCAUGUCAUUUGUUUUUGAGUCGCGUUUGGUCGAUUUUAGGGAAAAUUCUGUACAAGAUGUCAUAUAUGGGUACCGAACUUGGAAAAAUUCUAUGACCAGCUUUUUAAGCAUGGAUUGGGUAGCCAAAAGUUAUUUUGGACGAGCCACAAAAGAGAUAUUUAUCGAGGAGUUUUUGCGUGUCAGUUGUUGUCGAGUCGCGCUUGGUCGGUUUUAGGGUAAAUUAUGUACAAGAGGUCAUCUAUGGUUACCUACUUGGAAAAUUUCUAUGAACAGAGUUUUUUAUGAAUGGAUUGGGUAGCUAAAAGUUAUUUUGGAUCAGCCAAGGAAGAGGUAGUACUGAGGAGGUUUUGCGUGUCCUUUGUUUUCGAGUCGCGUUUGGUUGGUUCAAGGGCAAAUUUUGUACAAGAUGUCAUAUAUGGGUACCUACUUGGAAUAAUUCUGUCAAUGACAUUUUUUAAGCAUAGACUGGGUAGCAAAAAGUUAUGUUGGAUGAGCCACUAAAGAGGUAGUUAUCGAGGAGUUUUUGCGUGUCCUUUGUUUUCGAGUCGCGUUUGGUCGGUUUUAGGGCAAAUUCUGUACAACAUGUCAUAUAUGGCUACCUAACUUUGGAAAAAUUCUGUGAAUGACAUUUUUUAAGCAUGGAUUGGGUAGCAAAAAGUUAUUUUGGAAGAGCCACGAAAGAGGUAGUUAUCGAGUCACGUUUGGUCGAUUUUAGGGCAAAUUCUGUACAAGAUGUCAUAUAUGGGUACCUAACUUGGAAAAAUUCUAUGACCGGCUUUUUAAGCAUGGAUUGGGUAGCCAAAAGUUAUUUUGGACGAGCCAUGAAAGAGAUAGUUAUGAAGGAGUUUUUGCGUAUCCUUUGUUUAGAGUCGCG
rnacentral:lncRNA from 1 species